rnacentral:rRNA from 1 species
AGAGUUUGAUCAUGGCUCAGAACGAACGCUGGCGGCAGGCCUAACACAUGCAAGUCGAGCGAGAAGCCACCUUCGGGUGGCGGACAGCGGCGGACGGGUGAGUAAUGCGUGGGAAUAUGCCCUUUGGUGCGGGAUAGCCCUUGGAAACGAGGAGUAAUACCGCAUGUGCCCUACGGGGGAAAGAUUUAUCGCCAAAGGAUUAGCCCACGUUGGAUUAGCUGGUUGGUGAGGUAAAGGCUCACCAAGGCGACGAUCUAUAGCUGGUUUGAGAGGAUGAUCAGCCACACUGGGACUGAGACACGGCCCAGACUCCUACGGGAGGCAGCAGUGGGGGAUAUUAGACAAUGGGGGCAACCCUGAUCUAGCCAUGCCGCGUGAGUGAAGAAGGCCCUAGGGUUGUAAAGCUCUUUCAGAUGUGAGGAUGAUGACAGUAACAUCAGAAGAAGCCCCGGCUAACUUCGUGCCAGCAGCCGCGGUAAUACGAAGGGGGCAAGCGUUGUUCGGAAUUACUGGGCGUAAAGAGCGCGUAGGCGGACUGGCCAGUUUGGUGUGAAAGCCCGGGGCUCAACCUCGGAACUGCACUGAAUACUGCCAGUCUGGAAUCCUGGAGGGGAGUGUGGAAUUUCUAGUGUAGAGGUGAAAUUCGUAGAUAUUAGAAGGAACACCAGUGGCGAAGGCGGCUCACUGGCUCGAUACUGACGCUGAGGUGCGAAAG